rnacentral:rRNA from 1 species
UACGGGGGGGGGCAAGCGUUGUUCGGAAUUACUGGGCGUAAAGGGUGCGUAGGCGGCUCUCUAAGUCGGAUGUGAAAACUCUGGGCUCAACCCAGAGCCUGCAUCCGAAACUGGAGGGCUAGGGUUCUGGAGGGGAAAGCGGAAUUCCUGGUGUAGCGGUGAAAUUGCGUAGAUAUCGAGAAGAACACCCGUGGCUAAGGCGGCUACUG